rnacentral:rRNA from 1 species
UACGGAGGGUGCAAACGUUGCUCGGAAUCAUUGGGCGUAAAGCGCACGUAGGCGGACUGUUAAGUCGGAUGUGAAAUCCCUCAGCUUAACUGAGGAAGUGCAUUCGAAACUGGCAGUCUUGAGUAUGGAAGAGGGUCGCGGAAUUCCCGGUGUAGAGGUGAAAUUCGUAGAUAUCGGGAGGAACACCGGUGGCGAAGGCGGUUCUCUGGGCAUUACCUGACGCUGAGGAGCGAAAGUGUGGGGAGCGAACAGG